CUCCUCUCUUAAAGGUCCCCGCACCACUUAUCAGCGCUACACACAGAAUCCAGCUUCCAACACAGGCGUUGGAAGGCAUCGGGAGGACACACUCACACCCGAUCCCUCCUGCCUCCCUCCCCGCUGUGAUUUGGAUUCAAAUUUGGAGAACUCUGCUUUAAAUACAAGGAUUCGGGCGUUUUUCUGACCGAGGCAAGAGUGAAAGAGGGAAAGCGUUGCCAGAAUGUCCCCCGCUGCUGUGAGCUGACUCAGAUCCGACUGUCAGCACAGCUUUCUGACUGCUGACAGGGGACUGAGGAGUUGGCCCUUCUGGGACCGGCUGAAGCUCCCCCUGCAAUGGAAUUCUCUUUGCUGCAGAACCUGUGGCUGCAUCACGCCGUGCCGGGCAACAGCCGUGCGCACACACCAAGUGCAUCGUGGACGUCAUGCCUGUGGUCACCCUCCAGGGCCCUGGGCCAUUGAUCUUGUCAGCUGCCUAUGAAAUGUGCUUUGGGUGCCCUCACGGAGGAGUGGCUCUUGAUAAAAACCAGGGUUGGAGGAAUUGAUGGAUGUCUUUAUAUAUGUACAUAACCCCUGAUGCUCUGAGGUUGCUGUGUUUUCGGUGGACUUUGAUGUGGAAGAGAAAGUAUAUUUCAAGAAGAAAUCCAUGCAGGAGAGAAGACGUCCGUGCCCUCCCCCACGCCCAAAGGCCUCGGGCAGCAGAUAGAAAGCAGGUCCUGAGGAUUUGAAUAGCUGAAGCCUGGUGGAAAACAGUGCUUUCGGCUGGGAUGGCUGGCGGGUGGGGAGCGAUGACUCAGAUUCCCCAGGGCCAAUCAGAGAGAGGCUGCUGAGGAGACACGCAUUUAGUAGCAGAUGGCUGCUUUGUCUCUUUAUUUCUUGGAAUGGGUGCACUUCAAGAAGAAGCAGAGGACGGUGUCGGUGUCGUAGCGUUAGGGAGGAUGAAGGAGAGACGUGUGCCCUGCCAUGCCCAGAGAUGCCUUCAGAAGAGCCGUUGGCCACAUUCUGGUGACAGAAAUGGAACCAUUUUUUCCUGCAUAGCAAAUACUCAUGUCACUACUCACCCACCCUUGCCUGUGACAGACAUGGCCAAUGGAUCACAGCACUCUUUUCUACGGCAGGCAACCAUUAGCAAUGGAUCACAGUUAGCGCUCCAGAUGUCAUAGAUGACGUAAGUGUUACACCAGGGGAGGGAUGAGAGAAUGUCUCAGAUCAGAUGCAAUGUAGGCAUAAGACAAAUGUCACCGUGGUUCUAGAACCUUGAGGCAUUCUCUGAUUCCCUUCUAAAGGCAAUGAGAAAUACAGGAAAAUUUAUGUGAACAAUAAUGAGACACUACCUUUGUCAAACAUUGUUUAUGUGCAGACAUGGAGCCAUUGUUUAUGAAUGCCAUCCUCGCAGCAGAGCUGUGAAUCCCUAGCAUUGCCAUUUUGUAGAUGAGGGAACCGUUGCUUCUAUAGCGAGGCUGGAUGACUUUCUCAAAGCCACACAAAAGGUCAGUGGGAGCCUACUGUCAUUAGUAUUUCACGCCUACUCCUUAAUUAUCUUGACUCUCAUUCCUCAUAUACUUUCCCUAGAAAGUUUACCUUAGAGUUUAACUUCACCUGUAUUUGAAUCCUAUUUCCUACACUAGAAAGAUUGGGAACCCACACAAUGCACAUACAUGCACACACACAUGCCUAUACACACAAAUGCAUGCACAUGCGGGAACACACAUGCACACACAUACAAAUGCACGAACAUACUUGCACACACAUGCACACAUGCACACAUGUAUGCAUUCACACACACGGAUGCACCUAUAAAUGCACAUGCAUGCCCAGAGACACAUGCACACAUGGAUGCACACACACACACAUGCACACAUGGAUGCACAUACACACAUGCACACAUGGAUACACACGCACACACAUGCACACAUGGAUACACACAUGCACACAUGGAUGCAUGGAUGCACACACACACACACAUGCAUUCACACAUGUCUUACAAGGAGAGCUAAGAUGUCCCUCCUCUGCAUUUACACAGUGUCCAGUGAUUAUUCCUACCCAAGCUAUGGUCACUCUCUUUAAUUGUCUAAUGAUGCAUUUAUUUCUUCCAUAAGAUUGUGAAGUAAUUUAGCACAAGGGCAUUCUUGCUGACUUCUGUAGGUCUUUAGUUACUAACUCAUGGAGACUCCAUGUUACUUUGUAAUGUGACGGAAUCCUCUGUGACUGUAUACAUGUGGUACAUCUAAUAUUCCAACACUUCUUUUUUCCCCAUAAACUUCCCUACAGAAACAUUGUAUGGACAGGAACUGCACGCAGGUGGCUCUGGCUCUCCAGUGGGGCUGAUUGUAGUGGGCAUUCAGUGCAAGUCUAUCCAGAGGAAAUGCCUUCAACUUUUCCUCAAAGAGUCUGAGGCCCUUGGGCAAAAUACUUUUAUGUGAGACCUCUGUCCUUUACUUUCUCAUGUUAACAAUAGCUGUCAUUUAUUGACAACUUAAUAUGCUCUAGGCCCAGUGCUAAGACUCAUAAUAUUAUGGCACAGCAUUUUUGCAUUAGGAUAUAUGUGUAGCAUGAUAUUCCAGAAGAGCUAAUUGAAGCUCAGAGGGGUUAAGAAACUUAUGUGAGGUCACACAGCUAAGAAGUGGCUGAUAUUCAGACCCACGAAAGUCUGGCUUCAGAGUGCUCCUUUUAAGCCAGAAUUUAGAAUCCACUGAUCUUGGGUUCAUAGAGUCUCCCUCAGUCUGAGGGAGUGAUAUGAAUACCCAGCCCCCACAGAACUGUGCAUACCUUCCUUUGAUUUGUUUAUUUCUGCCACUCACCACCUUCCCUCCAUCUCUGCCUGUAGUCGAGCGUGGGUCAAGCGUGGGCUCCGUGGUGAGGCAGAACGAGCACAGACUGUAAGCUGACACUGUGUUCCAGUCACUUCCAUGGCUUACGAGCCUGCAUCAGACACACAGGUGCCCACCAGUCCCCAAGACGCUCAUUGUCCUCGGUUCCCAGCUGCCUGGGAAUCCAGAAAGCAAGCUAGGGCAUCGCCGGGGUCAGCUGGGCAGACAGAUGGAGAUGAGCAGAGGUGACACCCGAUAGUUCUGUGGGGCCCCUGGUGGCUGCUGCUGCGGCUGGCUGGUAGCUUGCCCUGGCUAAUCCUGCUGGUCACCCUUCGUGACGGCUGCGUGGUGUCACUCACCCCACCCUUGCAGUGACUUCUGCUUGCAGAGGCCGUCCUUUGGAAAGCCUGGGAGCUCUAACGGCUUGCUCCCAUUUUGGCCUGGGAUUAGCCAUUGGCAGCCAAGCCCCUGAGUGGAACAAGUUGCAUAGCUAAGGUGCCAGAUUCCAGGUAGUUUAAGGACACAGGUAGGACUUCUCCAGGUAUUGUGUUGUCAAACACCAACAAUGCUCAUAUGCCUUCCCUAGUUGACAGAUCUCCUUAGAAUAUCAAGGCAAAGGAGUGAAGGCCACAGGCUAAUUUGGGGGUCAUUCUUUGGGUCCAUGGUCUUAGACCCCAUCCUUCCCUCUACAUGAGACAUUUACUGGGUGCCUGCAAUCAGCCUGUUCAAAGGCACCACCGAAACAAGAGUAUGAAAGUCCCAUUUCAUCCUUGCCACCAGGGAAUGUACAGUCCAACAGAGACUGAAACGUGACUAACUAGAAGGGGAUUGAUGUCAUGGGAGUUUGAGCAUGAGUGUGUUGGGAGUGGUAGGUUAAGAACCCAGGGGUUGGCAGGAACUUGACUCCUUCUAGGAACUGAACCAUGGUCCCUGAGGCUGGAGUGUGGAGGGUUGGGGGGUAAGGGAAGGUGGCUGGGGUAGGGAGCAGGCCUCAUUCAACCCUGUGGCAUCAUGCCGGAGAGCCUGGUUGUUAUUUGAGUUUUGCUGGAACAUACUGAAGGAUUUCAGAUGGGGAAAUGACAUCAUCGGGGGGUGUUUGAAAAUAGCUUGUCUUCGUGCAAUGGAGAGUAUUUUGGACAGAGCGAGGGAGGGAUAAAUAAGACAAAUUCAGAGGCUGAUACAGACCUCAAGAAAGCUAGGAGAGCAACGGAGAAACAUCAGAAGUCUCUGAAAAUGAUUCUGCUCACCUGGGAACAAAAUGACAAUGGGUGCACAAGGGAAUUACAUAUGAAAGUGAGGAUUCCGUCUCAAAUGCCAGACCUCUGCUGAGUUCAGCUCUCUGCUAUGGCCUGGGAAAGCAGUAGAAGAUGGCCCAAGUCCUUGGGCCCCUGCACCUGCGUGGGAGACCCAGAAGAAGCUCCUGGCUCCUGGCUUCAGAUUGGCUCAGUUCCAGACGUUGUGGCCAUUUGCGGGUGUUACCAGCAGAUGAAGACCUCGCUCUGUCUUCCCCUCUCUCUAUCUGUAACUCUACCUCUUGUAUAAAUAAAUAAAUCUUAAAAAAAAUAAGAGAAUGCAAUGAAUGCUGUGGUUAUUCAUGUGGUAUCUUCUCUACAAAUCCAAGAAAUCACACAUUCUGAAAGCAAAUAAGUUCUUCAGCUACUGAUUGCUGCACCUAGUUCUGAAUACAGUUUAGUCUUACUAGAAGAUUAGAAUUUCACAUGAUUUAAGAACCUUCCAAUAAUGUUGGAAGACAUUUUCUAGUGUUUAUGUAUUUAAUCCAGAUUGCAGUUCUUGAUGAAUAUUACUCAACUGACAUAUAUUUUAUUCAUUAAGCAUUUCACUAUCAUUCUUUCAAAGAAUUAACUAAUUUUAUUUGAAAGGUAGAGACAGAGAGAUGAGAGAGAGAGAGACACACACACACACAGAGAGAGAUCUCCCAUCCAGUGGUUCACCCCUGAGACGCCCUAUAACAGCUAGAGCUCAACCAGGGUGCAGUCAGGAGGCAGGAACUCAGUCGAGGUCUCCCAUGUGGGUGACAGGGACCCAACAACUUGAGCUACCACCUGCUGCUUUCCAGAGUGUGCGUUAGCAGGAGGUGAGAAUGGAGAACAGCUGGGACUCAAACCUGGGGAACUCUCAUAUGAGAUGUUGGCAAGCAGUAGCUUAACUGCUACACCAAAUACCUGCUCCAAAGGUAUGAAGCAUUUCAAUAAAAGUUCAUGAUUUGGAGUAUGCCGGAGAAUUCAGAUCUCUUUUUUUUAAUCCCCAAUAUUAGUUUCUGUAUGGAGUUUAUAACUAAAACAUCAGCCACAGGGAAAAGAUGUUGUUCAGGAAGUGAAGGAGGGAGACAAGGAUAGCUGGUGGGGUUUUCCUAAGACAGAGAGCAGAGGCACCCCUUACACUGUCAGCCCUAAGAGGCAGAGGGAGGAAAACCAAGGGAGAAGCCCAUCAGCACCUUCCUUUAGUGAGAAGUAUGCAGAGGACAAAGUCAAGUGCAGGGCUGCGGGAGGGUAAGGGAAGGGAAUAGAAUUGAGUUCUCUCAAGGAGCCAAGGAAACUCACUGGCAAUUCAACUGUUGUUGUUGGUGGUGGUGGUGUUGUUUUGGUUUUUGUGAUUAGGAUGAGAGACUUGUCCAAAGGUGAUUCUGAGAACUCAGCCUGGGCUGCCAAGCAAGGACCAGUGAGCCCCGAGAGCCCUGCUUCCCCCUCUGGCUAGAGAUGCACCUACCCAUGGUUUCCCACGGUGCUGGGGGACCCCUUCUGCAGGGGAGACGCUGUCCCUCUGCACAUCAGCACACACAAGGGGCCUCUUUGCUUGGGGGUGUCACCGAAUAAUCAGCCUCAAGCUAGAGAUGCUCAGGGCAAAAUUAUAUUUACAUGUGACAAGUAAAAGAGAUGGCAGGAAGGGGUGGUUCCCAAGACACCGCCUCACCGAGAAGGCAUUUGCCCAGGCUUUCUCAGCCGGGGUUAGGGGAGUGUCCAGGGUGUAGAAAAAGGGAAAGAAGAGGGCCCUUCCUGCUCAAACAACGCACGUCUUCACACAUUGUUGCAUUCAACAGUCUGACUCAGACUGCUUUCCUGCAGUCUUCCUUAAAUGUGGAGAUUGGGCUCCCUCUGAGAGCAGGGUUGUGGGGUAAAUAUUCCUGGAACUUCCUCUGAAGAAUCAGCGCAAGCGAGUCAACAGUGUCAGGUUCUCUUCAUGCGUUCCUGCCUGAAUCUAACACUCUGGCUUAUACCCACUGCCCUCAAGGCCUUCCAGGAGACACACAACUGGUGUUCCCAGACAGGAGCUAUCAACAGUGGGAUUGUAUCAUGAAAUUUAUCUCCCAGACUCCACGGGAGACCAAAGAGGGUCCAACUACCAGGACAAGGGCCAGGUGAAUAAGAUUUAGAAAGACUUGAGUUUCAUCAAUGUCUUGGAUGACCGUCCAGAAGGCACACUUAAUGAAUCUGUGAGUGACAUGAGGCUGGGAGAUACAGAGGGGGUGUGGCUGCCUUACUGGAAGCAGAUGGUGUUCAACAGGCUGGAAGGACAAACAGAGUUAGUAAUGCUGAACCUCUUUGGCUAAAUGUCCUAUCCUGGCCUGGGGCACACUAGCUAUUCAAAUAUCAGGAGUAAGGAGACAACAGGAUUUAAAUCAAGAGGAAAACUCAGUGUCAUUGAUCAGUGUACACAAGUGCCUACACGCCCAAUACACCAUGUGAUGAGUGAACAGUAGAAUCUUUUGUAUUAAAGAAGAUACUACACACAGUGCCAGGAAUGAACUGUAUGCUCCAUCGUUAAUAAUUAUUGUCCUUGCUGCUUGCUAUUGGGAACGGGAGGGGGGUCGAGUAUUGGGAAGAAUGUUGAUUGCUUCCAGGUUUCUGGCUUUGCUCCCCAUCCUCCUUGUUCCUCUCUUUCUUUUCUUCUUUGCUUUUCCCUCACUCGACUUCAGUGGUGCUGCGCUAGGUCAACAUGGAGACAGGAAGUGAGUGGAGAUAGGACAAGGAUUCAACACCAAAUUUACAUCCUUUCUGCCUUUGGAGCUCUGAUCAGGGGUUUUUCACUAUUAAUGUGUUCGAAGCCUUGCAACUCUAAAAUUAGAAAUUACAGCUUCCACAUUUUCCAGAUAACAAGCUGAGGCCCAGAAAGUGACUUUAGCAAUGGUAUAGAGCUACUAGUAGGCAGCAUUAGGAUUUACAACUGCAUCGUGGUGCAAUAGUUUAAGCCACUGACUGACACCAGCACCCAAUAUGAGUGCCAGUUCAAGUCCUGGCUGCUCCACUUUGAUCCAGUUCCCUGCUAAUGUGUCUGGAAAAGCAGCAGAAGAUGGCUCAAAUCCCUGGGCCCCUGCACCUACAUGGGAGUCCUGGAAGAAGUUCUAGGAUGUUGGUUUUGACUGGGGCAGCCCCACCCAUUGCACCCAUUUGGGGAAUGAACCAGCAGAUGGAAGAUAACUUUUUCUCUCUGUCUCUUCUUCCUCUGUAACUUUGCCUUUCAAAUAAG